UUAACUAUUAUAUAGUACUCAGACAACACUAAUAUUCAGAGUUUGGGGUCCUCUGGCGGGCGCUUAUCAGCUGGAGCCGAUAGCCUGACCGAAAUCUGACGGCCCGCCAAAGCAACAAAGGUAAUAAUAACACAGGGUGGGAGAUCUACCCGUAAGGGCAUGAACUCUGUAAUGAUCCUUCCGCAGGUUCACCUACGGAAA
rnacentral:misc_RNA from 1 species